GCUUGUUGGUGAGGUAAAAGCUCACCAAGGCGACGAUCUGUAGCGGGUCUGAGAGGAUGAUCCGCCACACUGGAACUGAGACACGGUCCAGACUCCUACGGGAGGCAGCAGUGGGGAAUUUUGGACAAUGGGGGCAACCCUGAUCCAGCCAUGCCGCGUGAGUGAAGAAGGCCUUCGGGUUGUAAAGCUCUUUCAGCCGGGAAGAAAACGCAUGGGUUAAUACCCUGUGUGGAUGACGGUACCGGAAUAAGAAGCACCGGCUAACUACGUGCCAGCAGCCGCGGUAAUACGUAGGGUGCGAGCGUUAAUCGGAAUUACUGGGCGUAAAGCGUGCGCAGGCGGUUUUGUAAGACAGGCGUGAAAUCCCCGGGCUUAACCUGGGAACUGCGUUUGUGACUGCAAGGCUAGAGUACGGCAGAGGGGGGUGGAAUUCCACGUGUAGCAGUGAAAUGCGUAGAGAUGUGGAGGAACACCAAUGGCGGAGGCAGCCCCCUGGGUCGAUACUGACGCUCAUGCACGAAAGCGUGGGUAGCAAACAGGAUUAGAUACCCUGGUAGUCCACGCCCUAAACGAUGUCAACUAGGUGUUGGGAGGGUAAAACCUUUUAGUACCGGAGCUAACGCGUGAAGUUGACCGCCUGGGGAGUACGGCCGCAAGGUUAAAACUCAAAGGAAUUGACGGGGACCCGCACAAGCGGUGGAUGAUGUGGAUUAAUUCGAUGCAACGCGAAAAACCUUACCUACCCUUGACAUGCCAAGAACUUUCCAGAGAUGGAUUGGUGCCCGAAAGGGAACUUGGACACAGGUGCUGCAUGGCUGUCGUCAGCUCGUGUCGUGAGAUGUUGGGUUAAGUCCCGCAACGAGCGCAACCCUUGUCGUUAAUUGCCAUCAUUUAGUUGGGCACUUUAACGAGACUGCCGGUGACAAACCGGAGGAAGGUGGGGAUGACGUCAAGUCCUCAUGGCCCUUAUGGGUAGGGCUUCACACGUCAUACAAUGGUCGGUACAAAGGGUCGCCAAGCCGCGAGGUGGAGCCAAUCCCAGAAAGCCGAUCGUAGUCCGGAUCGCAGUCUGCAACUCGACUGCGUGAAGUCGGAAUCGCUAGUAAUCGUGGAUCAGAAUGUCACGGUGAAUACGUUCCCGGGUCUUGUACACACCGCCCGUCACACCAUGGGAGCGGGUUCCGCCAGAAGUAGGUAGCCUAACCGCAAGGAGGGCGCUUACCACGGCGGGGUUCGUGACUGGGGUGAAGUCGGAACAAGGUAGCCGUAGGGGAACCUGCGGCUG
rnacentral:rRNA from 1 species